UUAUGCUUGAAACGUUGCCUCCAGCAACUUACUUUAUAUGUAAGGCAGCCAACGGAUUCAACAUAACCCUCUAAUUGAAACACGGCAACAACAAGAAGAAGAAGAUAUAUGGAACAGAUUCUCUGCUGGUGAUGAGGAGUUCCCUAUGUUUAGUAGCUUUCAGUUAUACGAUACAAGUGGUAAUCAUGAUUCAAAUCUGCAAACUCCCAGCAAUAAUCUAGGAUAAGUUGGUAAGUUCCCUUGGAUAAGAGAAAGGGGAGAAAAAUUGUAUCUUCACCAGAUUCCACGAUUUGGGUUUUUAUGGGGAAACUUUGCUGGAGGCGUUGAACCAUGGUACGAGUAACACGAAUGCUAAAACCAAAUGUACGCUGAAGUUGGUUACAGAUAUUGCCGUUACUUCACUUAGGGGGAACUGUAUGGAGUUAAAUACGAUGAUUCGUGGCGCAUACCAAAAAUUGUAGCUCAUGUUUCAGAAACUAUCACUACUCUUUAUUUGUGACUUAUUCAACUCAAUGAAACUGCUUCAGGUCAGGUUAAUCGCAUCGUCAAUAUAAUCAUUCACAGUGGCAGAACUGGGAUGCCAAUAUAUAUAUAUAUAUAUAGGACGGGCUUGGCACGUAUUUAGUGGCAAAGACGAACCAAGGGAAAUGCCGGAUCCUGACUCAUACAUCGUCAUUUCAUUUUGUAUGUUAACUUGCUGAACUUUUUAGCUUAUAACAAUAGAAAGGAGUAUGGUUCAUGAUCCGCCAGUCUGCUAAUACCAUUUUAAUACAAGUUUGAGAAUGAGCAAAGUGUGGCGGAUCCUUCUCGAUGGAAAACUUUAGGAGUUUCAGUUUUUAUCCUCAAAGACUCAUGUUUCUAACCAAGCAAAUGAUACCUGUCUACUUUAGUUGAUUAUUUCAAGUCAUACAUAUAGACCUAAUUAGUUUCUGCCUUCAAUUACUACAUGUUGUACAACUGUUUUUAUUUUAUUUUUAUUUAAUUUUAUGUCUUUUCGCA